CCUACGGGCAGCAGCAGUGAGGAAUCUUGGUCAAUGGGCGCGAGCCUGAACCAGCCAAGUCGCGUGAGUGAAGACGGUCCUAUGUAUUGUAAACCUCUUUUGUCGGGGAGCAAAAGACGCCACGCGUGGCGUUCCGCGCGUCCCCCACGAAACAGCAUCGGCUAACCCCGUGCCAGCCGCCGCGGUAAUACGGAGGAUGCGAGCGUUAUACGGAUUUAUUGGGUUUAAAGGGUGCGCAGGCGGAAGCUCAAGUCAGCGGUAAAAUUGAGAGGCUCAACCUCUUCGAGCCGUUGAAACUGGUUUUCUGGAGUGAGCGAGAAGUAUGCGGAAUGCGUGGUGUAGCGGUGAAAUGCAUAGAUAUCACGCAGAACUCCGAUUGCGAAGGCAGCAUACCGGAGCGCAACUGACGCUCAUGCACGAAAGUGUGGGUAUCGAACAGGAUUAGAUACCCGUGUAGUC
rnacentral:rRNA from 1 species